UACGUAGGUGGCAAGCGUUGUCCGGAUUUAUUGGGUUUAAAGGGUGCGUAGGCGGUUCUAUAAGUCAGUGGUGAAAUACGGCAGCUCAACUGUCGAGGUGCCAUUGAUACUGUAGAACUUGAGUACAGACGAGGUAGGCGGAAUUGACGGUGUAGCGGUGAAAUGCUUAGAUAUCGUCAAGAACACCGAUAGCGAAGGCAGCUUACUAGACUGUAACUGUCGCUGAGGCACGAAAGUGUGGGGAUCAAACAGG
rnacentral:rRNA from 1 species